rnacentral:rRNA from 1 species
AACGAACGCUGGCGGCAGGCUUAACACAUGCAAGUCGAACGCCCCGCAAGGGGAGUGGCAGACGGGUGAGUAACGCGUGGGAACGUGCCCUUCGCUUCGGAAUAGCCUCGGGAAACUGGGAGUAAUACCGAAUACGCCGUAUUGGGAAAGAUUUAUCGGCGAAGGAUCGGCCCGCGUUAGAUUAGGUAGUUGGCGGUGUAAUGGACCACCAAGCCUACGAUCUAUAGCUGGUCUGAGAGGAUGAUCAGCCACACUGGGACUGAGACACGGCCCAGACUCCUACGGGAGGCAGCAGUGGGGAAUCUUGGACAAUGGGCGCAAGCCUGAUCCAGCCAUGCCGCGUGAGUGAAGAAGGCCUUAGGGUUGUAAAACUCUUUCGCCGGAGAAGAUAAUGACGGUAUCCGGAGAAGAAGCCCCGGCUAACUUCGUGCCAGCAGCCGCCGUAAGAC